rnacentral:lncRNA from 1 species
AAAAAAUUCCCUCCCAACAUUUCAUUCAUCCCAGUGAAGCAUUUUGAUUGGGGGAACUCAGCUAAUGUUUUUUUUCCUCCUCAAAACAGGUCAACUUUGAGAUAUAAACCAUCACAUUGGAACUGAAAUUCAAACAGAAAUGUUUAGAAAACGUGGGAUUACAUAUCCAUAUAUUUGGGAGUUUAACGAGAUUGUGGAUGGAAAGAAAGCACCCAGGCUAUUUAUAAUUCAAUUAGGCUUAGAUUUAGGAGUAGUUCUGGCUCUGUGUAAACUGCAUCUCUUUUUCAUUUGGAACGAUCUCCUUCCUCCAUCACAGCCCCUUUUCCUGGGAAUAUAUGGCUGCAGCUGGGAAUAUAUGGCUCUAAUAGAGCUGCACUGACUGGAGCUCUACUGUGCCAGCUAACUGCUGUAUUUUUCUUCCCCAAGGCUCUCCGGGCGUGUUCACAAGGGAAUAUUGACGUUUGGGACCAAGGGAUGGAAAACUGGGCUGUGAGCUGCUGGAGCUGUUAUCAAGGAUAUUUAUCCCAGCAACUUUCCCCUGCAGGACUUCUCAAGGUUGUCCUUCUUUUUCUCCAUUCCCACUGUUCCCUCUGCUCCACGAAGUUGCCUGGGGCCUGCCAAGGUGCCAGGCACAGAUCCAUCCCUCUGGAGUGCCCCAGCUGAGCAGGAAGAGUGGUGUGGAGGCAGCAGAUUCCUUUGGGAUCGCUGGGAUUUGGCUCAGCCCCGCGUGGCUGUGCCAGCCCAGCUGCACAGAGGCUGCAUCUGCAGGGAUCUCACAUCUGGGAUAACCUGGCUCAGGAAUCAGGCAGCCCAUGUGGGGAGCAGCAGGGAGGAAAAUCAGACCUGGAGCCCAUUCAAAGGCAGAAACAGCACGCUGCCCUCCCCAGGGAUCCCUCAGAGGCUGCUGGAUGUGCCAGUGGAGCUGGAAGGAGCCCAUCAUCCCAAGGGUGGCUCUGCAGCUGCUCUCCUGCUGUCCCCUUUGGUGUGACAGUGACGUGGGGACAGGGCACAGACCUGGCAUGGAGGCUGCGCCCCAAAACCCUCUCUGAGGUGAGCUGCUGUUUAAAGCUGUCUCCCUCAAAGUCAGCCAUCUGUGCUGUUUUCUCUGGGAGUGAUAAACACUUAAGGGUCACCUGCUUUCUUUAAUCUCCUCUGGCUCGUAUUCAUCUGAGCCGCACAUCAUAUUAAUUAUGUUCCUUUUAUUCCUGCCCAUGCCAGCACAGAGGGAUCAUUACUGCUGCUGCUUCCUCUUUUUAUUGUCUGGAUGCUCGCAGUCACGAGCUCUGGAAUGCUGGACCACGAGAGGACACUUUGCUGAUCACCUUCCUUCAUUAAGAAAACUUAAUUUUAGUGCUGAUGGGAAAUUGGAUUAAAGAAAAUAAACCACCCAAAAACAGCCA